GACGGGCCCGCACAGCAGCGGAGCGUGUGGUUUAAUUCGAUGCUACACGAAGAACCUUACCAGGGUUUGACAUACAAGUAGUAGGGAAGAAACUGGACCGACCCUUCGGGAGCUUGCACAGGUGCUGCAUGGCUGUCGUCAGCUCGUGUCGUGAGAUGUUGGGUUAAGUCCCGCAACGAGCGCAACCCUUGCCAUUAGUUGCUACGAAAGGGCACUCUAAUGGGACUGCCGGUGACAAACCGGAGGAAGGUGGGGAUGACGUCAAGUCCUCAUGGCCCUUAUGGGUAGGGCUUCACACGUAAUACAAUGGUCGGUACAGAGGGUUGCCAACCCGCGAGGGGGAGCUAAUCCCACAAAGCCGAUCGUAGUCCGGAUCGCAGUCUGCAACUCGACUGCGUGAAGUCGGAAUCGCUAGUAAUCGUGGAUCAGCAUGUCACGGUGAAUACGUUCCCGGGUCUU
rnacentral:rRNA from 1 species